rnacentral:rRNA from 2 species
AAUCCAUAGGUUAAUGAGGCGAACCGGGGGAACUGAAACAUCUAAGUACCCCGAGGAAAAGAAAUCAACCGAGAUUCCCCCAGUAGCGGCGAGCGAACGGGGAGGAGCCCAGAGCCUGAAUCAGCAUGUGUGUUAGUGGAAGCGUCUGGAAAGGCGCGCGAUACAGGGUGACAGCCCCGUACACAAAAGCGCAUGUGCUGUGAGCUCGAUGAGUAGGGCGGGACACGUGGUAUCCUGUCUGAAUAUGGGGGGACCAUCCUCCAAGGCUAAAUACUCCUGACUGACCGAUAGUGAACCAGUACCGUGAGGGAAAGGCGAAAAGAACCCCGGCGAGGGGAGUGAAAAAGAACCUGAAACCGUGUACGUACAAGCAGUGGGAGCACAGGUUUACCUGUGUGACUGCGUACCUUUUGUAUAAUGGGUCAGCGACUUAUAUUCUGUAGCAAGGUUAACCGAAUAGGGGAGCCGGAGGGAAACCGAGUCUUAAUUGGGCGUUAAGUUGCAGGGUAUAGACCCGAAACCCGGUGAUCUAGCCAUGGGCAGGUUGAAGGUUGGGUAACACUAACUGGAGGACCGAACCGACUAAUGUUGAAAAAUUAGCGGAUGACCUGUGGCUGGGGGUGAAAGGCCAAUCAAACCGGGAGAUAGCUGGUUCUCCCCGAAAGCUAUUUAGGUAGCGCCUCGUGAAUUCAUCUCCGGGGGUAGAGCACUGUUUCGGCUAGGGGGCCAUCCCGGCUUACCAACCCGAUGCAAACUGCGAAUACCGGAGAAUGUUAUCACGGGAGACACACGGCGGGUGCUAACGUCCGUCGUGAAGAGGGAAACAACCCAGACCGCCAGCUAAGGUCCCAAAGUCAUGGUUAAGUGGGAAACGAUGUGGGAAGGCCCAGACAGCCAGGAUGUUGGCUUAGAAGCAGCCAUCAUUUAAAGAAAGCGUAAUAGCUCACUGGUCGAGUCGGCCUGCGCGGAAGAUGUAACGGGGCUAAACCAUGCACCGAAGCUGCGGCAGCGACACUGUGUGUUGUUGGGUAGGGGAGCGUUCUGUAAGCCUGUGAAGGUGU